AUGCAGACCCUCCCUCGCUGUGCAGUAGCGCCGCCGGUCAUGGCAGCAGCUCAUAGCACCUUCUGCUCCAACGCAGCUUUGCCGUCAACGUGGCCGCAACGUCGACGCGCAUCACCAAACGCAGCUCCGCCGCCGGCCAUGGAAGGAGCAUCCUCUCAGCCUAGCCCUACAUCAACACGAAGUGAUCGGCGACUGGGAUUGCUGGAGAGAGCCGUCCCUGGGAAAGCAUGUUUGCUCGAAGGAAGAAGAAAAAGGAGGAAAAGGAAUGAGUGGCUCAUGCUUCUUCUGGAGAAAAGAUAA
rnacentral:rRNA from 1 species